CAGCCGCCGCGGUAAUACAGAGGUGGCGAGCGUUGUUCGGAUUUACUGGGCGUAAAGGGUGCGUAGGCGGGUUCGUAUGUCGGGUGUGAAAUCCCACGGCUCAACCGUGGAAGGUCAUCCGAAACUACGGAUCUAGAGUCCGGAAGGGGAGAGCGGAAUUCUUGGUGUAGCGGUGAAAUGCGUUGAUAUCAAGAGGAACACCGGUGGCGAAGGCGGCUCUCUGGAACGUGACUGACGCUGAGGCACGAAAGCGUGGGGAGCAAACAGGAUUAGAUACCCUGGUAGUCCACGCUGUAAACGGUGUGCACUUGGUGUUGGAGGUAUUGACCCCUCCAGUGCCGGAGCGAACGCGUUAAGUGCACCGCCUGGGGAGUACGGCCGCAAGGUUAAAACUUAAAGGAAUUGACGG
rnacentral:rRNA from 1 species